rnacentral:rRNA from 1 species
AUUGAACGCUGGCGGCAUGCCUAACACAUGCAAGUCGAACGGAAACGAUGGGAGCUUGCUCCCAGGCGUCGAGUGGCGGACGGGUGAGUAAUACUUAGGAAUCUGCCCAGUAGUGGGGGAUAGCCCGGGGAAACUCGGAUUAAUACCGCAUACGCCCUACGGGGGAAAGCGGGGGAUCUUCGGACCUCGCGCUAUUGGAUGAGCCUAAGUCGGAUUAGCUUGUUGGUGAGGUAAAAGCUCACCAAGGCGACGAUCCGUAGCUGGUCUGAGAGGACGAUCAGCCACACUGGGACUGAGACACGGCCCAGACUCCUACGGGAGGCAGCAGUGGGGAAUAUUGGACAAUGGGGGAAACCCUGAUCCAGCAAUGCCGCGUGUGUGAAGAAGGCCUGCGGGUUGUAAAGCACUUUCAGUAGAGAAGAAAAGCCGGCGGCUAAUACCCGACCGGUCUUGACGUAACCUACAGAAGAAGCACCGGCUAACUCCGUGCCAGCAGCCGCGGUAAUACGGAGGGUGCAAGCGUUAAUCGGAAUUACUGGGCGUAAAGCGCGCGUAGGUGGUUGGGUAAGUCAAAUGUGAAAGCCCCGGGCUUAACCUGGGAAUUGCAUUCGAUACUGCUUAACUAGAGUGUGGGAGAGGGAAGUGGAAUUUCCGGUGUAGCGGUGAAAUGCGUAGAUAUCGGAAGGAACACCAGUGGCGAAGGCGACUUCCUGGCCCAACACUGACACUGAGGCGCGAAAGCGUGGGUAGCAAACAGGAUUAGAUACCCUGGUAGUCCACGCCGUAAACGAUGAGAACUAGAUGUCGGGGGGAUUUGCCCUUCGGUGUCGCAGUUAACGCAUUAAGUUCUCCGCCUGGGGAGUACGCCGGC